rnacentral:rRNA from 1 species
AGUUUGAUCCUGGCUCAGGACGAACGCUGGCGGCGCGCCUAACACAUGCAAGUCGAACGGAGCUUAUAUUUCAGAAGUUUUCGGAUGGACGAGAGAUAAGCUUAGUGGCGGACGGGUGAGUAACACGUGAGCAACCUGCCUUUCAGAGGGGGAUAACAGUUGGAAACGACUGCUAAUACCGCAUAACGCUGCGAUGGGGCAUCCCGAUGCAGCCAAAGGAGCAAUCCGCUGAAAGAUGGGCUCGCGGCCGAUUAGCUAGUUGGUGGGGCAACGGCCCACCAAGGCGACGAUCGGUAGCCGGACUGAGAGGUUGAUCGGCCACAUUGGGACUGAGACACGGCCCAGACUCCUACGGGAGGCAGCAGUGGGGGAUAUUGCACAAUGGAGGAAACUCUGAUGCAGCGACGCCGCGUGAGGGAAGACGGUCUUCGGAUUGUAAACCUCUGUCUUUGGGGAAGAAAAUGACGGUACCCAAAGAGGAAGCUCCGGCUAACUACGUG